CUUGCGGCGCGAGGAGCCGGGAGGCCUGGGUGGUCUGAGCUGCUGCCGCCGCCCGCGCUGCGCUUGGAUUCAGGGGGUUGCCUAGAUAGCCGAUAGCCGAAGAGAGCGACGUCCCCGGUCCCGCGGCACUGGUGCUGCGCGGUCCAGAUGCAUUGAAGAUGACUGCACAGAGAAGGUGCCCAAUAAAUACUUGUAAAAAAGAAAGA
rnacentral:lncRNA from 1 species